rfam:Eutrema salsugineum unplaced genomic scaffold scaffold_1, whole genome shotgun sequence.
AAGCCGUGGUGUGGAAAUUGGUUACUGUGGCUUCUAAACCGCUCCCAAGCCUCAUCAAAGCUUUCACUGGUGUGUUGUGUGAAGCUUGAGAUCUGAUUUCUCAGCUU